rnacentral:ribozyme from 13 species
AAAGAUUGGAGGAGCAAAUCGCAGAUCUUGUGUUGGAAGAAUAAUAAAAGAAAAGAAAAUGAAGCUUUUUUUUUUUUUCUUUUUCUUUUCUCAUUCUUU